CCCGACCGCUAUCGGGGUAGGGCUAAGCCAUGCGAGUCGCGCGCCCGGGGGCGCCCGGGAGCGGCGCACGGCUCAGUAACACGUGCCCAACCUACCCUCGGGAGGGGGACACCCCCGGGAAACUGGGGCCAAUCCCCCAUAGGGGAAGGGCGCUGGAAGGCCCCCUCCCCGAAAGGACGGCGGCCGAUCCGCCGCCGCCCGCCCGAGGAUGGGGGCACGGCCCAUCAGGUAGUUGGCGGGUUAAAGGCCCGCCAAGCCGAAGACGGGUAGGGGCGGUGAGAGCCGCGAGCCCCGAGAUCGGCACUGAGACAAGGGCCGAGGCCCUACGGGGUGCAGCAGGCGCGAAUACUCCGCAAUGCGGGCAACCGCGACGGGGCUACCCCGAGUGCCGGGCGAAGAGCCCGGCUUUUGCCCGGUCUAAAACGCCGGGAGAAUAAGCGGGGGGCAAGUCUGGUGUCAGCCGCCGCGGUAAUACCAGCUCCGCGAGUGGUCGGGGUGUUUACUGGGCUUAAAGCGCCCGUAGCCGGCCCGGCAAGUCGCUCCUGAAAUCCCAGGGCUCAACCCUGGGGCAGGGGGCGAUACUGCCGGGCUAGGGGGCGGAAGAGGCCG
rnacentral:rRNA from 1 species